rnacentral:tRNA from 1 species
GGGGAGACAGCAUAAUGGUUAUGCAAAAGCCUUUCAAGCCUGAGGUCCUAGGUUCAAUCCCCAGCCCCACCA